rnacentral:rRNA from 1 species
AUGUCUGCCUUUUUAUCGUGGCGAAUGACAUUCUCUGUAUUCAACAGGUGUGAGCUCUUUGAUCUCCAUCGGCAGAUAGUUCCUUAUGUUGAUUCGUGGGGUUGGCAGAAGUCCAUUGUUGAGAGGAGGAAAGCGUUGGUAGGCAUAGACACCGACACAGAUGAAGAUCACUCGGACACCUUAAUCGCACUGCAACAUCCACCGGUCUAUACAUUGGGCAACGGCAACGACGAGAAGUACCUCAAUUUCAAUAUAGAAGAUUCUCCUAUUGAGAUUCAUCGUAUUGAUCGUGCUGGGCAGGUGACAUAUCAUGGUCCUGGACAGCUUGUUCUGUACCCGAUUAUCAAUUUGCGGUAUCAGAAGAAGGAUCUUGUCUGGUACCAAAGAUCACUUGAAGGUGUGAUCAUUCGUGCCCUUCAGUCUGCAUUCUCUAUUAAGGCAUCAAGAAUAGAAGGCCUCACUGGUGUCUGGGUUGGUGAGCAGAAAGUUGCAGCUAUUGGAAUUAUGUGUGCAAGAUGGAUAGUAUAUCAUGGUCUAGCGCUAAAUGUCACAACUGACCUAACCCCUUUUCAACACAUUGUUCCCUGCGGCAUAAAGGGCCGUGGUGUUGGUAGCAUUAAGCAGAUAUUACAGAAGGCUUCCAAUGGUACAGAACUUAAUGAUGCAGAGCUAAUGGAUAUAGCUUAUGAAUCAUUGAUCAAAGAGUUUGCUGAGUUUUUCCAGCUCUCUCUGGAACCCAGCCCUGAUUUGCGUCUUUAG